AUGAACGCUGGCGGCGUGCCUAAUACAUGCAAGUCGAGCAAACAGACGAGGAGCUUGCUCCUCUGACGUUAGCGGCGGACGGGUGAGUAACACGUGGAUAACCUACCUAUAAGACUGGGAUAACUUCGGGAAACCGGAGCUAAUACCGGAUAAUAUAUUGAACCGCAUGGUUCAAUAGUGAAAGACGGUUUUGCUGUCACUUAUAGAUGGAUCCGCGCCGCAUUAGCUAGUUGGUAAGGUAACGGCUUACCAAGGCAACGAUGCGUAGCCGACCUGAGAGGGUGAUCGGCCACACUGGAACUGAGACACGGUCCAGACUCCUACGGGAGGCAGCAGUAGGGAAUCUUCCGCAAUGGGCGAAAGCCUGACGGAGCAACGCCGCGUGAGUGAUGAAGGUCUUCGGAUCGUAAAACUCUGUUAUUAGGGAAGAACAAAUAUGUAAGUAACUAUGCACGUCUUGACGGUACCUAAUCAGAAAGCCACGGCUAACUACGUG
rnacentral:rRNA from 1 species